rnacentral:lncRNA from 1 species
GUCAUGGUUGAAUCAAAAGUAAAAAAAAAAAAAAAAAUGUUGAAUGAAUUCAGGUUCCAACUAAAUGUUGCAUGCACUCUUCCCUGCCCUCUCUUGCCCACAAUUGCAUUAGGUAGGUCAGUAGAUACAUAUGGGUGGAGAGAUUACUCCAGUUCCUAUUUUUUUAGUAGUUUCUAUUUUUUUAAAAAAAGCCUUACAUAAACAUGAUUAAAAACUCAAAGGUAACAAUAAGUGUUGGCGAGGAUGUGGGGAAAAAGGUAGACUCACACUGCUGGUGGGACUGCAAAUUGGUGCAGCCAAUAUGGAAAGUAGUAUGAAGAUUUCUUGGAAAAUUGGGAAUGGAACCACCAUUUGACCCAGCUAUCCCUCUCUCCUUGUCCUACACCCAAAGGACUUAAAAACAGCAUACUAUAGGGACACAGCCACAUCAAUGUUUAUAUCAGCACAAUUCACAAUAGCU